GCCAGCCUGGCGUAGGGGUUUGAGUGUUGGACUAUGACUUUAGAGACCAGGGAUCGAUUCCCAGCUUGGCC